CUUUGUGAAUGGCCCCUUUCACGAAAAUCUGCCCCCUUUGCCUUCACAUCGUUCCGGCGUCCCUGGUAUUACUAUUAAUCUGUCUGCGUUAAUACUUAAUCGUGCACUGAUGACCAUUUUACUCUGCCUAACAAACAGACGAUUUGGCAUUCCGUCUUAUAAAGGAUGAUUUUAUACUCCGUCUAAUGGAAUGAUUUUAUGCGAGCCAUGCUCACGAUUUCCCCUGUGCGAGACUAGUACUUUUUAGAUAAUAUGGCUUAAAUUGGUUUUUGUAUCCAAAAUUGCGUUGCAAGUUGCAAUCAAAUAUUGCCACUAAAACAUCAGUUUCAAAAUCCUGCAACUUUCUUCGUGUUCUACAGUACAUUUGUCGGAGGUGAUUUGUGUGCUUGAUUUAAUUGAGGCAAAUACUGCUCGCGGUCUAAAGCCGGUUUUCCACUAGGCGGAAUUUUGCGCGUGGAGCGGAAUUUUUCUUUGUCUUGUGAUUUCUCGGGUGGAACUAAUAUUUAGAAAAGACAAAGAAAAAUUCCGCUCCGCGCGCAAAAUUCCGCCUAUAGUGGAAAACAGGCUUAAGGCAUAUUUCCACUCCAGAAAAUUUCCGCACAAAGAAAAUUUUGUAAAAUGUGAUUGGCCGACACAAUUAAUUCAAAUUCUCCGUCGGAAAUAAAAUUUUGAAGUUGAAAAUUUUCAACUUUUAUAAACAG